AUGGCUGCCGGCGACGAGCCCUCCGUCACCCGCUGGUCCUUCCAGGACUUCGAGCGCUACUACGACGCGGGCCUCGGCAUCUGCCGCCAGCCCAAGGGCGACGGCGACGACGACGACGACGCGCCGCCCGGAUCGGGCUCCGCCGACGCCGCCCACGGCCACGCCAACGGCGGCGCUGACCUGUCCGUCUUCGAGCAGUUCCAGCGGCUGGAUAGAAAUGUUGAGUUGCGCAAUGGGGCAAUGGAUGUCGGGCCACCGCAGAAAUCCAUGCUUCCUUCUUUUGAAUCUGCAGAAACAUGCAACUUAGCCGAGACAUUGUUGAGGGAUAUCAUUCGUGGGAGUCCAGAUGUCAAAUGGGAAAGCAUUAAAGGUUUGGAAACUGCGAAGCGACUUCUUAAGGAGGCAGUUGUCAUGCCUAUAAAGUAUCCCAAGUACUUCACAGGUCUGUUAUCACCCUGGAAAGGUAUAUUGCUAUUUGGUCCACCAGGAACAGGAAAGACAAUGCUGGCAAAAGCUGUGGCUACCGAGUGCAAAACAACUUUUUUCAACAUUUCAGCCUCAUCAAUUGUCAGCAAAUGGCGUGGUGACUCGGAGAAACUAGUAAAAGUCUUAUUUGAGCUUGCAAGGCAUCAUGCACCAUCUACCAUUUUCCUUGAUGAGAUUGAUGCCAUCAUUAGCCAACGUGGUGAAGCUCGUAGUGAACAUGAAGCCAGUCGGCGAUUGAAGACUGAACUAUUAAUACAGAUGGAUGGGUUGACUAAGACAGAUGAGCUUGUUUUUGUUCUGGCGGCCACAAAUUUACCUUGGGAACUAGAUGCAGCAAUGUUACGCCGAUUGGAAAAACGUAUUCUUGUGCCCUUACCAGAGGCAGAAGCCAGGCAUGCUAUGUUUGAAGAGUUCCUUCCAUCGACUCCAGACACAAUGGAGAUUCCAUAUGAUGUUCUUGUGGAGAGCACCGAAGGAUAUUCCGGCUCUGAUAUACGCCUUGUUUGUAAGGAGGCAGCAAUGCAACCACUUAGACGGUUAAUGGCAGUUCUAGAAGGCAGACAAGAAGAAAUGCCAGAGGAUGAGUUGCCUGAAGUUGGCCCAAUAGCGGCAGAAGAUAUUGAACUUGCCUUGAGGAAUACACGGCCGUCUGCUCAUCUCCAUGCACAUAGAUAUGAGCAAUUCAAUCAAGAUUAUGGCAGCCAUGUCAUCGGCUAA
rnacentral:rRNA from 1 species